rnacentral:rRNA from 1 species
UGGGGAAUAUUGGACAAUGGGGGAAACCCUGAUCCAGCGACGCCGCGUGAAUGAUGAAGGCCUUAGGGUUGUAAAGUUCUUUCGUCCGUGACGAUGAUGACAGUAGCGGAAGAAGAAGCUCCGGCUAACUUCGUGCCAGCAGCCGCGGUAAUACGAAGGGGGCUAGCGUUGCUCGGAAUUACUGGGCGUAAAGCGCACGUAGGUGGCGAUUCAAGUUAGAUGUGAAAGGCCCGGGCUCAACCCGGGAACUGCAUUUGAUACUGAAUUGCUAGAGUCCAAGAGAGGGUAGUGGAAUUCCCAGUGUAGAGGUGAAAUUCGUAGAUAUUGGGAAGAACACCAGUGGCGAAGGCGGCUACCUGGCUUGGUACUGACACUGAGGUGCGAAAGCGUGGGGAGCGAAC